GACAUACUGAGGUUCAUACCCCAUAGGUCUUGGAUACUGGAAUGUUCCUAGGAAGAAAGCUACGGCGCUUCAGGAUGGGUCUGCGGCCUAUCAGGUUGUAGUGAGUGUAAUGGACUCACUAGCCGACGACGGGUACGGGCUGUGGGAGCAGUUGCCCGGAGAUGGACUCUGAGACACGAGUCCAGGCCCUACGGGGCGCAGCAGGCGCGAAAACUUCACAAUGCGCGGAAGCGCGAUGAGGGGAUUCCAAGUGCAUGCACUCUGUGUAUGCUGUUUACUAGUCUAAAAAGCUAGUAGAGUAAGGGCUGGGUAAGACUGGUGCCAGCCGCCGCGGUAAUACCAGCGGCCCUAGUGGUGAUCGUUAUUAUUGGGCCUAAAGCGUCCGUAGCCGGUCCGGUAAAUCUCUGGGUAAAUCGUUGGGCUUAACUCAACGAAUUCUGGGGAGACUGCCGGACUUGGGACCGGGAGAGGUCGGAGGUACUCCAGGGGUAGGGGUGAAAUCCUGUAAUCCUUGGGGGACCACCGGUGGCGAAGGCGUCCGACCAGAACGGGUCCGACGGUAAGGGACGAAGCCCUGGGGCGCGAACCGGAUUAGAUACCCGGGUAGUCCAGGGUGUAAACGCUGUGCGCUUGGUGUUGGGGGUCCUUAGUGGGCAUCCAGUGCCGGAGAGAAGUUGUUAAGCGCACCGCCUGGGGAGUACGGUCGCAAGACUGAGACUUAAAGGAAUUGGCGGGGGAGAAU
rnacentral:rRNA from 1 species